AGACUGUAGUUUAUCAAAACCAUUACUUGUCAAGUAAUAAAUGAGAAGAAAAUCCUCCUGUCUAG
rnacentral:tRNA from 1 species